CAGCCGCCGCGGUAAUACGAAGGGUGCAAGCGUUAAUCGGAAUUACUGGGCGUAAAGCGUGCGUAGGUGGUGGUUUAAGUCCGUUGUGAAAGCCCUGGGCUCAACCUGGGAAUUGCAGUGGAUACUGGAUCACUAGAGUGUGGUAGAGGAUAGUGGAAUUUCCGGUGUAGCAGUGAAAUGCGUAGAGAUCGGAAGGAACAUCUGUGGCGAAGGCGACUAUCUGGGCCAACACUGACACUGAGGCACGAAAGCGUGGGGAGCAAACAGGAUUAGAUACCCCUGUAGUCCCUGUCUCUUAUAC
rnacentral:rRNA from 1 species